UGUUUCCUGGGUUGUUCGAAGCGACUUAACGCCCUUGAGCCUAUGAGCAAACCCCCGGAAAGAUACUGCAGAUUCGGUGAGCAUGUCCGUGCGCCGGAAAGCCUAAAGAGUCUCAGUUAUUUCCACCUUGAACCACUGGGUUCAAGGCCAAUAGUCGAAACGGCAACUUGGGAAACAC
rfam:Marinomonas aquimarina strain CECT 5080 genome assembly, contig: 0012